UUUUUUUUUUUGUCCUGAUCCAAAUUGUUUUCUUCCAUGAAAUAUAGCUUUAAAACAAAACAAGAAAAACCUCAGGAUUUCCAGCUGCUUCUUUAUUUAAAUAUUUGAGCGGAUUUAAAAAGGACAGUUUCCAGAACCUACCUGGUACCAGAAAAACCUCACUAUCAGAUAAAGGGGAGAAAAAAAAAGUCUUACCCAGAAGGGUUUACAUUAGGAAAUGCCCCCUUAGCGGAUCUCUGGGUGGCUCAGUGGUUUAGUGCCCAGGGCGUGAUCCUGGAGUCCCGGAUUCGAGUCCCGCAUCAGGCUCACUGCGUGGAGCCUGCUUCUCCCUCUGCCUGUGUCUCUGCCUCUCUCUCUCUCUCUCUCUCAUGAAUAAAUAAAUAAAAUAUUUUAAAAAAAGAAGUGCCUCCUUGGAUUUUCCAAUCAUCCAAGAUUGUCCCUGAGAAGGGAGAGUUUACUGAUCACCAGGACCUACUUUUGAAACUAAUCGUAGGUGCAUUGUUUAAAGUCUUUGUGUAUUCCUUAUCUUAAAAAAGAAUUUAAAAAAAUAUAACUACUAGUAUUGUGAAGACCACAUAAGAGAGAGCAUACACCAAGUGCCUGACACGUAGUAGGUCCCCAGCAUCAGGGCCCCACCUCACAGAGUCUGGAAUGGAGGUAAUGUGUGCACGUAUGCAUGUGAUAUGUUGAAGCAGGGAAUAGUAUUAAGAACAGGCCCACAGGAAUGGAGAGUUUAUUGUCCCACAGGUAUUUUUUCUGAGAGAUCUCAAGCAAAACUCGAACUGGUUUAUAGUAGUACAUUCAUGUUCGUAAAAAACUAAAGAUCCUUAAAUCUGUUAAAGGACUGUGACCUUGCUGUAACUACUAGAGAUAUAAAGGAAGUAUUAAGAAUUUGUCAAGAAGGAGGAGCCUGAAUGGCUCAAUUAGUUGAGCGUCCGACUCUUGAUUUCAGCUUGGGUCAUGAUUUCAGAGUCAUGAGAUCAAGCUCUUAUGUUGGGCUCCAUGCUCAUCAAGGAAUCUACUUGGGAUUCUCUCUCUCCUUCUUCCUCUGCCCAUCUCCCCCCACUCAUGCUCGCUAUCUAAAAUAAAAUUAACAAAUCUUUUAUUUUAAAAAAAGGAAUUUAUUGAGGAAAUAUAAGAAGCUAACUUUCAUUCUUGAUCCUAUGGUCUUCUAUUGACUAUCGAUCAUAUGACUUUUACUGACCCAUGAUAGGGUCCCAUGGAUACUAGAAUGUGGAGAGCUGAAAGUACCUGGUUAGAGCUUUUGCCAUCAUUCAGAUAUGAGAAGUUAAGUGCGUGGAAGGUACUGGAUAGAGACCAUGCAGAAAAGAGAAGAGGCGUAAUACAAGAGAACACAGGAAGGCAGAAACAUCAGGGCUUGGCUACUGUUUUGAAAUGGCAAGUAACUUUUUUCCACUUUUAGCUAAUGUAUGUUCUAAUAUUUCUAUUAACAAGUGUGUAACAUUUCUAUAAAAAUAACAACAUUUCUUAAAAAUUUGUAAAGAGACAUAGUCCAAAAAAGAAGGCAUUAAUGUUUACUUAAGACUUUAAUCUUGAGUGCCUGGGAGAGAAUGCUGGUGCCAUUCAUACACACUUGGAAAAAUCCAGAAAAGCAAGUUUUCAAGAGGAUAGUGAUAGAUUUAUCCAGAGACUUGAAUCUGAAAUAUUGGUAGGACAUACAACAGCAACAGACACAUAGCAAGUGCACGCUAAAUGCCUGUCAGGAGAAUAAAAUAAUCGUAUAGACUAUCAGCUCUGAGAACUAAGGAACACCACAUACAACAGCUAGACCAGACUCUUUACAAAGCCAGUUACACAGAAGACUAAAGAGCCCUGGUUGUCACAGGAGAAAGAGAGUGCAGAUGAGUUUGGAAAAUCCUGGACGAAACUAUGCACACAAGUUUCUUCACACUUUGGAGGGUACUAAAAUGGCAGGUGAUGAGCAGUGACCCAAGGAGGCAACCAGGAAGGAAAGAAGGUGGUUCCUGUCCUCUAUGCCAGCCAGGAUGAAGGGUUGGACCACAUCAUGUGGGGCCUCAAACAGACUUACAACUUGUCGUCUUCUCCCAAAGGCAUUAAAAUGUUGGGUAAGUGCUCAUGUAGAAGAGUGGCUGAGAGCUUCAGACAGGAAGGAUGGAAGAGGUGGUCGAACUCGAUCUUUUCUAUAAUGUCCCCAGCGAUCCGACCCUAGCCCAGACUGCCACAUCCUGCUCGGCAAACCAGUCAGUGGCUUCCAUCCUCCUCGGGAGGCAGUUCAGGAAGCAUCCAUUGCUACUCAAUGUGCCUCUUGAGAUGAUCAGCCUCCCAUCCCAAGCAGCACAAUCAUGACAAACCAGUUUUGUCUCUGCCCUGAGUAGAGUUCUGAUCAAUUUGACCCUGUCUUCCUUUCACUCUCAGUGCUAGUUAAUGUCCUUUCCAGAGGGGUGCCCCAGUGACCUGCCCUGCUGCCCCACCUGGGACCCCACUUUGGCUGAGAUGAGACCCAUGAGGUCUGUCCUUUUCUGUUACCAUCACCAAGUCCAAGAUGAGGAACACACAAUCCUCUUUCAGUUAAAACAACUCCACCGAGUUGAGCAAGAGAGGGGUACUUAUUUUCCCCUUAGAGUUUAAAUUGUCAGCUGACUCCGAAGUAUUGAGGCAGAAAAGUGAACAUGCAGGGUUAGUGGUACCUCUCCAAAAGACCUGGAGAUGUUUCAUGGCCCCAUGACCCUCAGAAAUGGAGCCAGGGAAACCGCUAUGCUUUUCUGCAAGUGCCAGAAUGACAGCGGGGGGAGUCACCCCUGGGCCGGCAUGUUCUGAACUCUUGUAACCUGGCAGCAGCCCCCCCGAAUCUCUCACUAAUGCCAAGAGCAGCUGCAGGCUGGGAUCCCAAGCAGAAUCUCAUCAACAACAGCAACUAAGUAUCUGCUCUGCUGUACUAGGCUUCCCCUGAAUUGUUCCAUGAUGGGGUCAUUUUUCUGUCACCACCUGCAUCACUGCCUCCCCCACCCCCACCCCCCGCACUGUGAGAAUCACUCAAGAUAAAGCUUCAAGGGAUGGGUCCCGCUUACUUAACAAUCAAUGAGUCGUCUCCAUUAUUCCCUCAAUGUAUCUGUUUUCACUAAACACCUGCAACCACUGGCUGGUCCCGAGAGGCACAUCUCCCCCACCCCCCACCCCCGCCCC
rnacentral:lncRNA from 1 species